rnacentral:rRNA from 1 species
GAUGAACGCUGGCGGCGUGCCUAAUACAUGCAAGUCGAGCGAACAGACGAGGAGCUUGCUCCUCUGACGUUAGCGGCGGACGGGUGAGUAACACGUGGAUAACCUACCUAUAAGACUGGGAUAACUUCGGGAAACCGGAGCUAAUACCGGAUAAUAUAUUGAACCGCAUGGUUCAAUAGUGAAAGACGGUUUUGCUGUCACUUAUAGAUGGAUCCGCGCCGCAUUAGCUAGUUGGUAAGGUAACGGCUUACCAAGGCAACGAUGCGUAGCCGACCUGAGAGGGUGAUAGGCCACACUGGAACUGAGACACGGGCCAGACUCCUACGGGAGGCAGCAGUAGGGAAUCUGCCGCAAUGGGCGAAAGCCUGACGGAGCAACGCCGCGUGAGUGAUGAAGGGCUUCGGAUCGUAAAACUCUGUUAUUAGGGAAGAACAAAUGUGUAAGUAACUAUGCACGUCUUGACGGUACCUAAUCAGAAAGCCACGGCUAACUACGUG